GAGACCAUGCGAACCGGUCGACGUAAGCUCUCUGGGAGUUUUUUGGAUAUAGGAUCCGGAUCCUGCAGAAGGUUCCUGGAUUGUCCAUGUUGUUGACCCCUGAUUCCCGAUUCUGCGGGAUCUGAGGUCUCCUCUGUAAUUGCUAUAAGACCCUUGUCUUCCCCUUUAAGGUGGUCUGGUAGCAUGACCUAGAAUUCUCCUGGUCUCCUCGGAUUGCUCUGAUGCCCCAGGGUGUAGGGAACUUCACUAUUUGAUGGAGGGUUGAGGGAACUGCUCCCAUGUCGUGAAUCCAGGAUUGUCCUAAGAUCAUGUUGUAUGCUGAUUGGCAGUCCACGACCAGGAAUUUGGUAGAUAGGUUGAUCCCCUCAGCAUAUACUGGAAGAACAACCUCCCCAGCGGUUUACUUGACCUCGCCACUGAACCCGAUGAGUGGGGUUACCUUGCGCGUCAAGGUAUUCUCCUCUAACCCUAGGACUUGGUAUGUAACACCCCCGAUCCGGAAUAAAUAAAAGUUAAU
rnacentral:lncRNA from 1 species